GCCUGGGUUGAUCUCCCAUCUCCAUAGGCCAUUGAGAAGGUGGCGUUGAGCUGUGCUCUCCAUGUGGCGUAGAGGUGCCAGUUCUACCAGCCAAUCUGUCCAUGUUCCCGAACAAUCAGCAGGUCAGCUCCAAGGAUUCACCAUGUCCUGUUCGCAUUUUCCUUGGAAUUCCUGGACAACAUUUGGUUGAAGUUUUGAUGUUCCAAGUUGCAUGGUACCAGGUGCUGAGGCAAUGUCAUUGUUUUAUUAAGCGCCCAUCAAGACCUCCUGACUGGUAGCACACAGCGGUUCAAGUGGAUAAGGGCACCAAUGGAAAAU